GUGUAAGGGCUGCGCGGGGCCCUCGCUCUCGGCUAUAGAGGACAGCGGGGAAUAGCAUUGUAAAUGUGGGGCCAGUGGCGCAAUGGAUAACGCGUCUGACUACGGAUCAGAAGAUUUCUUCUUUUCCAGUACAGGUGCUACGUGGGGUGCAGAAAAGCAUGUUUGGCAGCAGCUCCUGGCUUAGAGAGAGUAAACGUGUCUGAAAGUGUCCAAAUCUGUCUGCAUAGCAGGAGGAGAAUGGAAGUGAAGUUUUGUCCUUCAACAGAACCCCAUCAUGCUGCAGUGUAUCCCUCUCAGGAACUGUCUCAAGAGGAACCCAGGCAUGAAAACCUGCCUUUUAGAGAGCAGAGACAUCUCAGUGAGCACAAAUUGAGGAAAGACAUCCAUUUCCUUUGUUGUCUGUCAUCCACACAACUUCAUACUCACUAGCAGUCAAAUUUGAAUCCACAGUCCAAAAGCACAUCUCUGUGCCAUUCCCUGGUGUGGUACGGACUCUAUUUAGGGCCAAAGAUUUAUUUUAUUCCCAAGAUUCACUCCUUCAUAUAUAAACGUCUCUAAACUCCUCUGUUCCUCACUUGUUUUUUCACUGAUUCAGUGGCAACUCUUUUCACUUCUCCUAAAGGAUAGCUCACAAAAUAAAAGCACACACAGACUUUCUUCAAGAGAAGGCAUCAUCUCCUUUCUCCCUCUGUCUCCAUCUCUAAGAUAUUUUUUCUCUCCCACCCACUCAGAAAGAAUUGACUUGCAUUUCUGUGUAAGAGUGUAAUACACCUGAGGGAUAAUGAAAG